CUCCACAGGUGAUGUAGCCAUUCAAAAGGAGAGGAGCCUAGAGAGGAAGGGAGGGGCUCAGGGAAGUCUGCAGAGAUUUAGAUAAGAGUUCACUGGAAGAAAAGGCAGUUUAGUCAGGGGGAGUUCCAUGGACAAAGGCUGGGUUUAAACUGCUUCCAAGAGGCCAGGCUCUGAUGAAGUGUCAGUUUUUCACUUGUGACCCUAAGCAGGGUGAGUAGAUCUCUACAGGGAGUCUACUUUUAAUUCUCAGGAAAAUGUCAUGGGAGUACUGUUCAGAUAUGGAAAGAUCUACCAUCCCUUUCAUAGCAGACUUGCACAGCCAAGGAGGACUUUGAGCUGGGAUCUUGGUGUGAAAUGAAUUAUUCUGCUCCAGAAGACAGCAUCUUAAAUGCACCUGAGCCUGAAUCCUGGAUUUUGCUUCCUUUGUGUUCCUGCCAUUUGCUGUGAUAAAUACCUUUUCUCUCAACAGAAGGAAUAUACGGAUGUGGGCACAGCCAUCUCCCAAAUAACUAGGCUCCUCCAUCUGACUCAGUAGCCAUCCUUCUUCCCAGGACAUCUGCCUCGCAGAACCACCCUCCUGGGGAAUGAGCCAGUGUUUACCCGUGUGUGAUUCUUAAGCAUUUCCUGAGCAUCUGCUGAGCCCUCCACUCUGCAGGAGGUCUCUCUGCAACAUGCAAGUAAUUUCCUUCAAUAAACAUUCAUCAUAUGCUUUCCGUGUUGCAGAGAAUAAGGCUGUACCCAGAGGCAAGGCCUUGCCCUCUUCAAGCUUACCUUCCAGGGGCAUGUGAAACUAGGGAAAGAGAUGGAAAUAUGUAAUUAUGACAAGAAUAAGUUUCUUGUCCUUAAGGAGUUAUUGUUGAAUAGGGAAAAUAAAACAUGGUGAUUGAUCAACCGUAUUUUAUCUAAAAGCCACAGAUAAUGUCCAGUUAGUCAACCAUUAGUUGCCGGUAAGAACAAUGGCCUCUGGUUCCAUUAUGUUGACAAGGAUGCAUGGUGGAGAGUCCUGGUCUGGACUGAGCCCACCCAGAUGGGCUUCCAUGCUCAGCCAUCUGCUGACUGUGAGAUCUUGAGUAAAUGACUUAACCUUCUUGAGUCGUAGACUCAUCUGUUAAAGGGUCUGCCUUACUUCCUUGGUGGUUUGUUGUGACACAGGUAAAUUAUAUAUGUAAGC
ensembl:lncRNA